rnacentral:rRNA from 1 species
UACAGAGGGUGCGAGCGUUGUCCGGAAUCACUGGGCGUAAAGCGCACGUAGGCGGUUUGUUAAGCCGGAUGUGAAAUCCCUCGGCUCAACCAAGGAAGUGCAUCCAAAACUGCUGAGCUUGAGUACUUAAGAGGAUCGCGGAAUUCCCGGUGUAGAGGUGAAAUUCGUAGAUAUCGGGAGGAACACCAGUGGCGAAGGCGGCGAUCUGGGAAGAUACUGACGCUGAGGUGCGAAAGCGUGGGGAGCAAACAGG